CCCCUAGUAACUGCGAGUGAAGAGGGAAGAGCUCAAAUUUAAAUCUGUCAGUUCUGCUGACCGAGUUGUAAAUUAGAGAAGUGCUAUCAGUGCUGGCCUGUGCAAAAGUCUCUUGGAAAAGAGCAUCAUAGAGGGUGACAAUCCCGUCUUUGGUACAGAUCUCCAGUGCUUCCAUGAUGUGCUCUCGAUGAGUCGAGUUGUUUGGGAAUGCAGCUCUAAAUGGGUGGUAAAUUCCAUCUAAAGCUAAAUAUUGGCGAGAAACCGAUAGCGCACAAGUACCGUGAGGGAAAGAUGAAAAGAACUUUGAAAAGAGAGUUAAACAGUACGUGAAAUUGUUGAAAGGGAAACGCUUGAAGUCAGUCGCAUUCUUCAGAAAUCAACCUGACUUUGGUCUGGCUUACUUUCUGUUGGAUGGGUCAGCAUCAAUUUUGAUCAUUGGAUAAAGCCCUUGGGAAAGUGGCAUCUCCGGAUGUGUUAUAGCCCUUGGAUCACAUACAAUGGUUGGGAUUGAGGAACUCAGUGUGAAUUUGGAGCUUUGCUCACAACACGCACUUAGGAUGCUGGCAUAAUGGCUUUAAUCGACCCGUCUUGAAACACGGACCAAGGAGUCUAACAUACAUGCGAGUGUUUGGGUGGAAAACUCAAGCGCGCAAUGAAAGUGAAAGUUGAGAACCCUGUCGUGGGGUGCAUCGACGCCCGGACCUGACCUUUUGUGAUGGACCUGCGGUAG
rnacentral:rRNA from 1 species